GAUGAACGCUGGCGGCGGGCCUAACACAUGCAAGUCGAACGGGAAGGCGCUGCUUGCUUCGGGUGCUCGAGGGGCGAACGUGUGUGUAACAUGUGUAUAACCCGCUUAUGACGGUGGGAUAACUUCAGGAAAGUGGGGAUAAUACCGGAUAAGAGCUGCAGCGGCUUGGGGGGGGUUGGAAAGUUUCGGUGGUUGGGGAUGGCCUAGGGGAUUAUCAGUUUGUUGGGGGGGUAGUGGCCUACCAAGUCACGGAAGGGUAGCCGGCCGGAGAGGGUGACCGGGAACAUUAGGACUGAGAUACGGCACAGAGUAGUACGGGAGACAGCAGUGGGGAAUAUUGCACGAUGGGGCGAAGCCUGAUGCAGCAACGCCGCGUGCGGGAUGACGGACUUCUGGUUGUAAAGCGCAUUCGCCUAUGACGAUGCGUGAGUGACGGUAAUGGAAAAAGAAGCACCGGCUAACUACGUG
rnacentral:rRNA from 1 species